GAUGAACGCUGGCGGCGUGCCUAAUACAUGCAAGUCGAGCGAACAGACGAGGAGCUUGCUCCUUUGACGUUAGCGGCGGACGGGUGAGUAACACGUAGGUAACCUACCUAUAAGACUGGGAUAACUUCGGGAAACCGGAGCUAAUACCGGAUAAUAUUUCGAACCGCAUGGUUCGAUAGUGAAAGAUGGCUUUGCUAUCACUUAUAGAUGGACCUGCGCCGUAUUAGCUAGUUGGUAAGGUAACGGCUUACCAAGGCAACGAUACGUAGCCGACCUGAGAGGGUGAUCGGCCCAACUGGAACUGAGACACGGUCCAGACUCCUACGGGAGGCAGCAGUAGGGAAUCUUCCGCAAUGGGCGAAAGCCUGACGGAGCAACGCCGCGUGAGUGAUGAAGGUCUUCGGAUCGUAAAACUCUGUUAUUAGGGAAGAACAAACGUGUAAGUAACUGUGCACGUCUUGACGGUACCUAAUCAGAAAGCCACGGCUAACUACGUG
rnacentral:rRNA from 1 species